rnacentral:tRNA from 1 species
UCCCCGGUGGCUCAGACGGUAAAGCAUCUGCCUGCAAUGCAGGAGAUCUGGGUUCGAUUCCUGGGUCGGGAA